GACGAACGCUGGCGGCGUGCUUAACACAUGCAAGUCGAACGGAAAGGCCUGCUUUCCCUUUUGGUUUGCCGGUACUCGAGUGGCUAACGGGUGAGUAACUCGUUAGUAAUCUGCCCUCAACUUGGGUAUCAGCCUGUGAUACUGCGUCUAAUUUCCGAUAGGACUGCAGGGUGGUUCCUGUGGUGGGCAACGAUUUUCUCGUGGUUGGGGAUAGGUUGGCGGCGUGUCAGCUUGCGGGUGGGGUAAUGGACUACCAAGGCGGCGACGGGUAGCCAGACUGAGAGGGGGGACGGUCGCAGUGAGACUGGGAUACGGCCCAGACGGCAACGAGAAGCAGCAGUGAGGAAUAAUGCAGAAUGAGCGGAAGCCAGACGCAGCGACGGCGCGUGGGAGAUGACGGCAUUGGGGUUGUAAACUCCUUGCGAGCGAGAGGAAGCAACCUGGUUGGAAGUGUGGUGACGUUAGUAGUAGAAGAAGCACCGGCUAACUACGUG
rnacentral:rRNA from 1 species